rnacentral:lncRNA from 1 species
AGGAAUAGCUGUGUCGGGGAGCUGGAGACCGGGGCAGGAGCGGAGGAGCUGCGCUGUGUUUUCUGGUGGAUUGGGAGAAUAUCUGGACUCUGAGCGGCUCGGGUUCGGUUUCUACGAUACGGCUGUCUGAAAUAAAACGUCUCCAACCCUGGAUAGACUCAAUCUUGUAGACUUGAAUGGACAGAGAGACCAAAAGUACGCAGAUUCAGUUAGGCUAAAUCAAACCUUUGGAAGUUACGUAAUGCCUGUAAAGAAGAAGAGAAAGUCCUCUGGUUCAGAAGACUCCAGCAUCAAAAAGUGUAAAAUCACCAGGUAAGCCUGAAGCACUCAGUCUUUUUUUCUCUUCAUUUGUUCAGUAUAUCUAAAGAUUUCAAAAUGCUGAUUUAAAUCCUAUAGUUUCUACAGGUUGUUGUGUUUUUAGGUAGGACUAUGUAUUUCCAAC